CAGUAGCCACGGGAAAACGGAGGGGGCUAGCGUUGUUCGGAAUUACUGGGCGUAAAGCGCACGUAGGCGGCUUGGUAAGUUAGAGGUGAAAGCCUGGAGCUCAACUCCAGAAUUGCCUUUAAGACUGCCGAGCUAGCAGGUGAGAGAGGUAAGUGGAAUUCCGAGUGUAGAGGUGAAAUUCGUAGAUAUUCGGAAGAACACCAGUGGCGAAGGCGGCUUACUGGCUCAUACUGGACGCUGAGGUGCGAAAGCGUGGGGAGCAAACAGGAUUAGAUACCCGCGUAGUCCCUGUCUCUUAUAA
rnacentral:rRNA from 1 species